AGGGAGAGAUUCAUCAACCUCUCAAGCACCUCUGCUAAUGAUCUAGAGCAUCCAAAGAGUUGGCAGAUCAAGAUCGAAGGAGUUCGAUCAACAUCGACCGUCGAAAGGGUUCUGCCAUGAAUUAGUAUUCGUGAGGAGCUGAUCAGAUCAGAAGCUUCAUGUGGAUGAUCCACAUAGGCCAGAUAUACUGUGUGGCUAUAUUACAAUGAUUAGACCCUCCCGAUGGUGAUCAGAUUACGACGAUCGACUACCCACAC
rnacentral:lncRNA from 1 species